GUGGGGAAUAUUGCACAAUGGGGGAAACCCUGAUGCAGCGACGCCGCGUGAGUGAAGAAGUUAUUCGUAAUGUAAAGCUCUAUCAGCAGGGAAGAUAAUGACGGUACCUGACUAAGAAGCCCCGGCUAACUACGUGCCAGCAGCCGCGGUAAUACGUAGGGGGCAAGCGUUAUCCGGAUUUACUGGGUGUAAAGGGAGCGUAGGUGGCAGGGCAAGUCAGAUGUGAAAACCCGGGGCCCAACCCCGGGAGUGCAUUUGAAACUGUCCGGCUGGAGUGCAGGAGAGGUAAGCGGAAUUCCUAGUGUAGCGGUGAAAUGCAUAGAUAUUAGGAGGAACACCAGUGGCGAAGGCGGCUUACUGGACUGUAACUGACACUGAGGCUCGAAAGCGUGGGGAGCAAACAGGA
rnacentral:rRNA from 1 species